rnacentral:rRNA from 1 species
GAUGAACGCUGGCGGCGUGCUUAACACAUGCAAGUCGAACGAUGAAGCCCAGCUUGCUGGGUGGAUUAGUGGCGAACGGGUGAGUAACACGUGAGUAACCUGCCCUUAACUCUGGGAUAAGCCUGGGAAACUGGGUCUAAUACCGGAUAGGAGCGUCCACCGCAUGGUGGGUGUUGGAAAGAUUUAUCGGUUUUGGAUGGACUCGCGGCCUAUCAGCUUGUUGGUGAGGUAAUGGCUCACCAAGGCGACGACGGGUAGCCGGCCUGAGAGGGUGACCGGCCACACUAGGACUGAGACACGGCCCAGACUCCUACGGGAGGCAGCAGUGGGGAAUAUUGCACAAUGGGCGCAAGCCUGAUGCAGCGACGCCGCGUGAGGGAUGACGGCCUUCGGGUUGUAAACCUCUUUCAGUAGGGAAGAAGCGAAAGUGACGGUACCUGCAGAAGAAGCACCGGCUAACUACGUG